GGAGCCCCAGCCCUGGGAUUCCUAGGUAUUCCUAUUCAUUGAUCAGCACAGAACACAAACUACUUACCAUGGAGUCUGUGCUUGGCUGGAUUUUCCUUGUUGCUCUUUUAAAAGGUGUCCUGUGUGAGGUACAGCUGGUGGAGUCUGGAGGAAAACUGGUGAAGCCUGGGGGGUCCCUGAGACUCUCCUGUGCAUCCUCUGGAUUCACCCUCAGUAGUUACUGGAUGAGCUGGGUCCGCCAGGCACUGGGGAAGAGGCCACAGUGGGUCACAUACGUUAGCCAUGGUGGUAGCACAUACUAUGCAGACUCCGUGAAGGGCCGAUUCACCAUCUCCAGAGACAAUGGGAAGAACACGCUGUAUCUGCAGAUGAACAGCCUGAGAACUGAGGACACGGCCCUGUAUUACUGCGUGAAGGACACAGUGAGGGGAUUUCACUGUGAGCCCAGACAUAAACCUUACUGUAGAAGGGGAUCUCAACCUCCUGGGGGUGCACACUACCCACCAAUUUUAUCUUUAAGCUCCAGGAGUAGAUGGAGCUGGAGGAUAUGGGCAGAUUUCCUGUCAGGGUCUGUGGCUUCCACUCCUAAAAGUUGUUUUUUCCCCCAGGGAGCCUCUCUAGACACAUGAUUCUGUGCUUACCUCCUCAGUCUCUGACUUAGAAACUUAGGAAAACAGCUAAACUAACAAUUACAAAAGACAGUGUCACUUACACUUGCUUGUUCCUGUCCCUAGAUACUAAUGAAUUACAAAUAUCUCCAUGUAUGUCAUCUGAACCUUACAGGCAUCCCAGCUACACUCUCUGUUCAUCAAAGGACCACUCAGUUCAAUGCACAAGAUUUUUAGAAGCAGCACAAAGUGCGUGCUGGACUUGAGGCCACAGAAGCAUCAACAAUCCAAAGCAAGAGAAGAAAGAAACCUGGUAGGGUCUCUGUCUUGAACCAUGUUCACAGCAUCAAUGUGAAUGACAGCAUGGGAAAGCAAAGGAACCUGCACCAGGAUGUUGUGUGGAUAUAGAGUCUAAAGAUCAUAUGCACACAUUCACUCACACGUAAGAGAGUAUAAAACCUUUAUCACCUUAACCAUCGUGUCUGUUGAGAGGAGGGCAGG